rnacentral:piRNA from 1 species
CUGAACACCUUUGACAGAUGGUC